ACCGAAUAGAUACCCGGGUAGUCCACGCCCUAAACGAUGCGAACUGGAUGUUGGGUACAUUACGGUACUCAGUGUCGAAAGCUAAACGCGUUAAGUUCGCCGCCUGGGGAGUACGGUCGCAAGACUGAAACUCAAAGGAAUUGACGGGGGCCCGCACAAGCGGUGGAGUAUGUGGUUUAAUUCGAUGCAACGCGAAGAACCUUACCUGGCCUUGACAUCUGUCGAAUCCUGCAGAGAUGCGGGAGUGCCGCAAGGAACGACAAGACAGGUGCUGCAUGGCUGUCGUCAGCUCGUGUCGUGAGAUGUUGGGUUAAGUCCCGCAACGAGCGCAACCCUUGUUCCUAGUUGCCAGCACGUAAUGGUGGGAACUCUAGGGAGACUGCCGGUGACAAACCGGAGGAAGGUGGGGAUGACGUCAAGUCCUCAUGG
rnacentral:rRNA from 1 species